AAAUCCCAUCAUAGUGCCCUGAUAAAUUCCUAGCUCUCUUUUUGUGAUAGCUCAAGUAAUUGCAAAGUUUAUUAUUACCGUUUGUGAAUUAGAGGCUUAGAGACAUAUCUAUUGACUUAGAAUUAUAUUCACCAUAUUGCACCAACAGUCAGACCAGGAACCGUUUAAUACUAAGUCCGAUUGCCGAAUUCCGAUUGCCAGUAUAUAGUAGCGGUAGUUAGUUCGAAGGUACAGUGGUUCCCAAACCUAGCAGAAAGAUAGUUGCGAGAGAAUUCGAUUGCAGUGAGAUCACAAAUAGAAUUUUGUAAUUAAUCUCAUCUCGUAGAAUAAAUUACUGAAUUGGAUCUUGCUAAUUUGUCACUCCCGCAACA